rnacentral:rRNA from 1 species
AAACUUUGCAAUACACGAAAGUGUGACAGGGCUAUCCCGAGUGCCAUCCGCUGAGGAAGGCUUUUACCCAGUCUAGAACGCUGGGGGAAUAAGGAGAGGGCAAGUCUGGUGUCAGCCGCCGCGGUAAUACCAGCUCUCCGAGUGGUGUGGAUGUUUAUUGGGCCUAAAGCAUCCGUAGCUGGCUAAGUUAGUCCCUUGUUAAAUCCACCGAAUUAAUCGUUGGAUUGCGGGGGAUACUGCUUGGCUAGGGGACGAGAGAGGCAGACGGUAUUUCCGGGGUAGGGGUGAAAUCCUAUAAUCCCGGGAAGACCACCAGUGGCGAAGGCUGUCUGCUAGAACGCGCCCGACGGUGAGGGAUGAAAGCUGGGGGAGCGAACCGGAUUAGAUACCCGGGUAGUCCCAGCUGUAAACGAUGCAGGCUAGGUGUUUGGACGGCCACGUGCCGUUCUAGUGCCGCAGGGAAGCUGUUAAGCCUGCCGCCUGGGGAGUACGAUCGCAAGAUUGAAACUUAAAGGAAUUGGCGGGGGAGCACCACAAGGGGUGAAGCUUGCGGUUU